rnacentral:rRNA from 1 species
GCAGCAGUAGGGAAUAUUGGUCAAUGGAUGCAAGUCUGAACCAGCCAUGCCGCGUGCAGGAAGAAGGCCUUCUGGGUUGUAAACUGCUUUUGCCGGGGGAUAAAAUUUCCAUGCGUGGGACAUUGAAGGUACCCGGUGAAUAAGCCACGGCUAACUACGUGCCAGCAGCCGCGGUAAUACGUAGGUGGCAAGCGUUGUCCGGAUUUAUUGGGUUUAAAGGGUGCGUAGGCGGUCUUGUAAGUCAGUUCUGAAAUAUCCCGGCUUAACCGGGAGGGUGGGAUUGAUACUGCAGGACUUGAGUGGAGUCGAGGUAGGCGGAAUUGACGGUGUAGCGGUGAAAUGCUUAGAUAUCGUCAAGAACACCGAUAGUGUAGACAGCUUACUAGUCUCAAACUGACGCUGAGGCACGAAAGUGUGGGGAUCAAACAGGAUUAGAUACCCUGGUAGUCCACACUGUAAACGUUGAUUACUCGCUGUGUGCGAUAUACCGUACGCGGCCCAGCGAAAGCGAUA